rnacentral:rRNA from 1 species
GCGGCGUGCUUAACACAUGCAAGUCGAACGAUGAAGCCCUUCGGGGUGGAUUAGUGGCGAACGGGUGAGUAACACGUGGGCAAUCUGCCCUUCACUCUGGGACAAGCCCUGGAAACGGGGUCUAAUACCGGAUAACACUCCUGCCUGCAUGGGUGGGGGUUAAAAGCUCCGGCGGUGAAGGAUGAGCCCGCGGCCUAUCAGCUUGUUGGUGAGGUAGUGGCUCACCAAGGCGACGACGGGUAGCCGGCCUGAGAGGGCGACCGGCCACACUGGGACUGAGACACGGCCCAGACUCCUACGGGAGGCAGCAGUGGGGAAUAUUGCACAAUGGGCGAAAGCCUGAUGCAGCGACGCCGCGUGAGGGAUGACGGCCUUCGGGUUGUAAACCUCUUUCAGCAGGGAAGAAGCGAAAGUGACGGUACCUGCAGAAGAAGCGCCGGCUAACUACGUGCCAGCAGCCGCGGUAAUACGUAGGGCGCAAGCGUUGUCCGGAAUUAUUGGGCGUAAAGAGCUCGUAGGCGGCUUGUCACGUCGAUUGUGAAAGCUCGGGGCUUAACCCCGAGUCUGCAGUCGAUACGGGCUAGCUAGAGUGUGGUAGGGGAGAUCGGAAUUCCUGGUGUAGCGGUGAAAUGCGCAGAUAUCAGGAGGAACACCGGUGGCGAAGGCGGAUCUCUGGGCCAUUACUGACGCUGAGGAGCGAAAGCGUGGGGAGCGAACAGGAUUAGAUACCCUGGUAGUCCACGCCGUAAACGGUGGGCACUAGGUGUUGGCGACAUUCCACGUCGUCGGUGCCGCAGCUAACGCAUU